UAGAUCUUGAUGGUAAUUGAUCUCAGCCCUUGGAUUGAGUAAGACAUAUUCAGCCCUUGGAUUGAAGAAAUCUAAAGGUCCAAAUUUGGACACAUAUAUUUUCAGUCCUUGAAUUCAAACUAACCCUUCCAUUGUUAUAUAGAUGUAUGAUUUUUCUUCUUUGAUUUCUAUCAAAAUCAUCACAAACUGUGGAAACAGUAACUGCUUUUUAUGAGUAUUGUGGCCAUAUUUUUGGUUCUCUGUUUUGUGUACUUUGUUCCAUUAAUUAGAGUCAGGUAGCUGGGUUUUCAGCUAUUGUGGGAUUUUAUUGAGUUGACUUUACUACUAGAAUCACCUUUUGGCUUAAAUUGUUCAACACAAGUUUGGUUCUGUUGCCAGUUUAUUUUGAGUCGAAAACAGGACAUUUUCUAUAUACAUUUGUUUAGUUUUUAAUUCCCCACAUGUCUGGUCUGUUGCUGACCCUUAUGUCUUAGGUCUAGAUCUGGGAUGCUACUGGUCUAGUUGCUACAGUUAUGUGAGCAUUGUUCUCUUCCAUCGCUGGCAGUGCUUGGCUUCUCUUUGCUUCAGCCUUGCAUGUGACAGAUUGGGAAGACGUUUGGGACGUAGUGGUAGUUACCAUGAUAUGUUCCUGAAGAACUACAAAGAGCUUGCUAGCAAGAGGAACUGGAAGCAGCCCCUUCUUGGUAAGUACCCAACUUUAAUGUGCUAUUUCUUUUAGUAUAGGGGUAUUCAUGGACUGGGUUGGUUUGGUUCCAACGUAAACCAAGAACCAAACUGGUCCUUAUGGCUCCAUAAAUUUAGAAACCAAAUCAAGCCAUGAAAAACUGAACCAGAACCAAACAGCUAGAAGUGGUUUGGCUCCACUUAGGUUCUAGGCUUGAAAAGUAAUCACUAUAUCUAGAUUAUCCAGGUUAAUAAAAAUUGAUUUUUCCUUCCUAUACAAGUACUCUAAAAUUUUCACAAGCAUACUUCAAAUUUUUUUAAUAUUCUCCAAACUAACCUUUAGAAAUACAUAAAAUAAAACAAAUUCAUAUUAUAUAGUGAUUACACUGAUCUUGAAAUCUUUGACAAAUUGAAACAAACCAAAAUGAAAGACAAAAGUAUACCCAUUUCACCUCUGCUUUCUUCUCCUUUUUUCCUGUGUUCAUUCUUUUGUUGAGAGCUUCAAUGAAGCAGAAGACAUCAAGGUAUGACAUUUUGGACAUAUGCUUAUUAUAUUAUGCUAAUGAACAUGUGAAGAGGCAGUUCCUUGUACACUUGCAAGGUAUGGCAUUUUGAUCCAUUGCAAAAGCAAUCUUAUUAUUUGUUCUUUGUUUAGAGACACUCAUUUCUAUUGUUCUUUAGAUGAGGCUGAGGCUGGGUUGGAGUGCCUUCAUCAAUCUACAAAGAAAGAGCUACAACUGUACUUGAAUGUAGAUGGGCCAUUGAAAGACUCCAAUGAGUUCCACACAAAAUUAGCAAGACUGGCCAGGUAUUUCCAAUAUUUUUUUUUAAACUCUAGUUUUAUUCUGCGUAAUAUGAACCAAAUUGAAAUGCCUAGUGAACAAUGCAAGGGAUAGUGAAUUUGCUACUGGCAGAUGGUGAAGAAAAAGGGAAAAUAAAAGGACGGAAUGAGACAUUGGGGUGGAAAAUCAACCCGACAAACACACACAGAGUUUUGGAGUUGGUGCUUCUUUUCAAUUGAGAUAAACAUAAGACAUUAGUAGUGUUUUACCUGUCAUACAUUGGCCAACCAAUUCAUCCUUCUCACUACUUGUCUUGUGCCAUUAUAUUUUAUCACUGGUUAGUUGCAAGCCUUUAAGUCUUAGUUGUUUGAUUUGCUGCUUGUUUAUCUCAAUCCAUGCAAUAUUGUUGUACAAGUUUAUGCUCAAAAUAAUCUUCCUUGAGAAUUUUCUUAUCCUUAUUUCCUGUUUUGAUUUUCUUUUCUUUGUUUAAUUUUAAUAUCUAGGAAGCUUCAAUGUGAUACAAAACUUUUGAAACUUCCCUUCUUCAAUCCUAGAAAAAUAUUAUUCUUGGUUGGAGAGAGAGAGAGAGAGAGAGAGCUCCUAGCCCCCAAAUGAUAUGUAGAGUGAAAUUGAAAAAGGGAUAAGAAAGGGAGAGAAAGAGGAGAGGAAGCUAACUUCGUGACACCCUGAAAAUGAGUAGAAUAUUUAUUCUGAAAUCUUUCGAUCAUGCCCUUCCCUUCCUCUUGCAAGUUGGUGAUAAUCUUUUGAUGGCCCAACUCACAUGCACUGAAGGCACCACCAAAAUCCAAAUAACUUCCUUUGUAGGUGAACAAAUUCAUUAAGGACGGAAAUAAAUAGGAAGAUGCCUUUUCAUUAUAGAAGCUUUUUGAAGACCUACAUCUGGUUGUUGCCUUUUGGUAAGGUUUAUAGUCCUGCUGUCAUCUGCUUCACCAUUUACUGGUUAUAUCACUAGAAUUGUCCUCCCAAGAAGAUGUCUUUUUUCAAUUUGUCAUGUGUUCCUAUCUUAAUAUCUUUGCAAUUACACCAUGAGAUGGCAGUAGAGAGUGCGCGGAUUUUUGAUAUGGAUUGUUAUUAGG